GGGCCCGCACAAGCGGUGGAGUAUGUGGUUUAAUUCGAUGCAACGCGAAGAACCUUACCAGGGUUUGACAUCCUGCGAAUCUCUUGGAAACUUGAGAGUGCCUUCGGGAGCGCAGUGACAGGUGGUGCAUGGCUGUCGUCAGCUCGUGCCGUGAGGUGUCAGGUUAAGUCCUAUAACGAGCGCAACCCCUAUCGUUAGUUGCCAGCAUUUAGUUGGGCACUCUAGAGAGACCGCCGGUGAUAAACCGGAGGAAGGUGUGGAUGACGUCAAGUCAUCAUGCCCCUUACAUCCUGGGCUACACACGUACUACAAUGCUACGGACAAAGAGCAGCAAGUUCGCGAGGACAAGCAAAUCUCAUAAACCGUGGCUCAGUUCAGAUCGUAGGCUGCAACUCGCCUACGUGAAGGAGGAAUCGCUAGUAAUCGCAGGU
rnacentral:rRNA from 1 species